GCACUUUAAGCAGUGAAGAAGACUCCGUGGUUAAUACCCACGGACGAUGACAUUAGCUGCAGAAUAAGCACCGGCUAACUCUGUGCCAGCAGCCGCGGUAAUACAGAGGGUGCAAGCGUUAAUCGGAAUUACUGGGCGUAAAGCGAGCGUAGGUGGCUUGAUAAGUCAGAUGUGAAAUCCCCGGGCUCAACCUGGGAACUGCAUCUGAAACUGUAGAGCUAGAGUAGGUGAGAGGGAGGUAGAAUUUCAGGUGUAGCGGUGAAAUGCGUAGAGAUCUGAAGGAAUACCGAUGGCGAAGGCAGCCUCCUGGCAUCAUACUGACACUGAGGCUCGAAAGCGUGGGUAGCAAACAGGAUUAGAUACCCUGGUAGUCCACGCCGUAAACGAUGUCUACUAGUCGUUGG
rnacentral:rRNA from 1 species